rnacentral:rRNA from 1 species
AGGACGAACGCUGGCGGCGUGCCUAACACAUGCAAGUCGAACGAGGUCCAUCUGGUAGCAAUACCAGUGAAGAUCAAGUGGCGAACGGGUGAGUAGCACGUGAGCAACCUGCCCCGAAGACCGGGACAACACCGGGAAACCGGUGCUAAUACCGGAUACCCCCACCGAGUCGCAUGGCUUGGUGAGGAAAUGGAUUCCGCUUCGGGAGGGCUCGCGGCCUAUCAGCUUGUGGUGAGGUAACGGCUCACCAAGGCUUCGACGGGUAGCUGGUCUGAGAGGACGAUCAGCCACACUGGGACUGAGACACGGCCCAGACUCCUACGGGAGGCAGCAGUGGGAAUCUUGCACAAUGGGCGAAAGCCUGAUGCAGCAACGCCGCGUGAGGGACGAAGGCUUUCUGAGUUGUAAACCUCUUUCAGCAGGGACGAUUGUGACGGUACCUGCAGAAGAGCCCGGCAACUACGCGCCAGCAGCCGCGGUAAU